AAGACUAUAGACCUGCGGAGUACCUGCGGAGGGAUCAUUACCGAGUUUACAACUCCCAAACCCAAUGUGAACGUUACCAAACUGUUGCCUCGGCGGGAUCUCUGCCCCGGGUGCGUCGCAGCCCCGGACCAAGGCGCCCGCCGGAGGACCAACCAAAACUCUUUUGUAUACCCCCUCGCGGGUUUUUAUAUCUGAGCCAUCUCGGCGCCUCUCGUAGGCGUUUCGAAAAUGAAUCAAAAC
rnacentral:misc_RNA from 1 species